rnacentral:rRNA from 1 species
CAGUCGCCGCGGGAACACGAAGGGUGCAAGCGUUACUCGGAAUUACUGGGCGUAAAGCGUGCGUAGGUGGUGGUUUAAGUCCGUUGUGAAAGCCCUGGGCUCAACCUGGGAAUUGCAGUGGAUACUGGGUCACUAGAGUGUGGUAGAGGAUAGUGGAAUUCCGCGUGUAGCAGUGAAAUGCGUAGAUAUGCGGAGGAACACCGAUGGCGAAGGCAGCCCCCUGGGCCAACACUGACGCUCAUGCGCGAAAGCGUGGGGAGCAAGCAGGAUUAGAUACCCCGGUAGUCCCUGUCUCUUAUAC